UACGAAGGGGGCUAGCGUUGUUCGGAUUUACUGGGCGUAAAGCGCGUGUAGGCGGGUCGUUAAGUUGGGGGUGAAAUCCCGAGGCUCAACCUCGGAACUGCCUUCAAAACUGGCGACCUGGAGCAAGAUAGAGGCGAGUGGAAUUCCGAGUGUAGAGGUGAAAUUCGUAGAUAUUCGGAGGAACACCAGUGGCGAAGGCGACUCGCUGGAUCUUUGCUGACGCUGAGACGAGAAAGCGUGGGGAGCAAACAGG
rnacentral:rRNA from 1 species